GGCUCAUAGAGCGUCUGCUUGCCAUGCAGAAGGUCGCGGGUUCGAGUCCCGUCUCCCGCUCCA
rnacentral:tRNA from 1 species